AGGCUACACCCACCAAAACAAAGUUUGUGCACUGUCCCCAUAUUCUUUCCUAUCAAUUCUCUUCCAUUCCUUACAAGAGUGCAAAUAUGAUUUUGUGCCUAAACUUGCUGUCCUUACUAGCAGUCCUCCAAGGUGUCCAAUCUGAUGUCCAGUUGGUGGAGUCUGGAGGGGAUGUGAGAAAGCCUGGAGAGUCCCUCCGUCUUUCCUGCCAAGCCUCUGGAUUCAGCUUCAGCAGCUAUUACAUGGACUGGGUGAGACAGGCUCCAGGGAAAGGACUGGAAUGGGUUGGAGAAAUAGGUACAUCCUCAUCUCCAAUCCGCUACUCAGCCAAAGUCAAGGGCCGCUUCACCAUCUCCAGGGAUGAUUCCCGCAGUCAGCUGUUUCUGCAAUUGAACAAUCUGAAACAGGAGGACACGGCAGUCUAUUAUUGUGUGGGAGACACAUUGAGAGGAAGUGAAUCUGAAACUAGUCAAGAACUUUCUCUAUCUUUGAGUAGCUCUCAAAUUUAUGCAGUUAUAGAAAUUUCUUUUUAA